rnacentral:rRNA from 1 species
UACGUAGGGACCAAGCGUUGUUCGGAUUUACUGGGCGUCAAGUGUGCGCAGGCGGCAGAGCAAGUCGAGUGUGAAAGCCCCGGGCUUAACUUGGGAAUUGCGCUCGAAACUACUUUGCUGGAGUGUGGCAGAGGAAGGUGGAAUUCCACGUGUAGCGGUGAAAUGCGUAGAGAUCGGGAGGAACAUCUGUGGCGAAGGCGGCCACCUGGACCAGCACUGACACUGAGGCACGAAAGCGUGGGGAGCAAACAGG